AAAGCACUUGCAACUAUGACAUCAUGUCACUCAUGCUAGGAAUUGAACUUAACGCGAUCGUUUAUAAGCAACCUUCACUACAUGUGAAUAUAAGUUUGUAAGGAUUAUGUGAAACUUCCUUAUAUUCUAGCAACGGAUUUAUGCAUGCCAAUUAAGUGUCGACCCUUAAUUAACAAAUACAAAUAAGUUAUCAAUCAAAUAGUUAAGCCAAUUGCAUUCACGAUUCAAGAGUUCAUAACUGGAAUUUAUCAAAUCAAAUUAUACACAUAAUCAUGGCGUUGAAAUCACCCCUAGCUAAGAGGGGUUUAGCCACUCAUAUUCACAACAAAACGAAAGGAAAUGAAUUUAAACAUUAGAAACAAAAGAAAGAAAACACCUAAACGCUCAAACGAUCCAAGUUGGACAACAAGCACGUCCAAACACUUUCCUUCCCUUCCUUUGCUACGGCAUAAGGUGUUGGUGAGUGUUUGAAGGUUUGUUUGUAUGGAGGAAUGGAUGUGAAGAUGAAUGGAUGUGUUUGGGUGAAGGUUGUUUUGAAAUGGGGAUGAAUGAUCUAACCAAGUAUGAACUAAAUUUAUGUUACACACACUUCCUUUUAUAGAGGAGGUGCAUGGCAAUGGAGGGGAACAUGGAGUGGUGUAGCAAUUGAGUGCAAUGAUUCAAUGUAAUGAUGCAUGAAAUCUGAAAUGAUGAAGGGAACAAGGAAUGGUGUAGCAAUUGAGUGUAAUGAUUCAAUGUAAUGAUGCAUGAAAUCUGAAAUGAUGGAGGGAAUAAGGAAUGGUGUAGCAAUUGGGUGCAAUGAUUCAAUGUAAUGAUGCAUGAAAUCUGAAAUGAUGGAGGGGACAAGGGUGAUUAUGCAUGGCAUGGGUGGAAAUGUGAGUAAGUGGUGAAUCAAUGAGUGCAAGAAGGUGAAAGGAUAUUGUACACAUGGUAGACAAAGGAAAGGAAGUGGAAUGAUGCAACAAAUGAGUCAAUGGAGGGAACAUGGAUGAUGAUGCACGACAUAGGAAUCCAAAGGGAAUGCAAUGUGGUGCACGGCAAUGAUGCAAUGAUGGAAAGGUGAAUGAUGGAGUGACACCCAUUUGUGGCUGAGCUCUUUGUCCUUUUUACAUUAAUUCUUAUUUCUUUUUAACACAUUCCUAGCCUCUUUAGUCUUCAAUUUCGUCCAUCCAUCUUGCUCCAUGCAUGUGCUAUUCAUUCGAAGCCCAAAACUGCUCCAAAAUGCACCAAAAUGCAUCUUAUUGCUUUAUAAGGCCUAUGGACCUACAAACACACGAAAAUAGCUUAAAAUACAUAAUUAACUAAGAAAUAACAACAUAAAUGCAUGAGAACAAGCUAACUCAGUUGCAUAAAUAUGCUCUUAUCAAAUUCCCCCACACUUAGCUUUUGCUAGUCCUUGAGCAAAACAAAACAAACGAAACAAACAAAACACAACCUAGAUCUUCCAACAUUUGCCUCAGGGAUUUUUAAUGAACCAUGACAUGUUAAAAAUCAUCAUUCCCACAGAUUUUGGUCAUCUUUACACUUGAGCACAUACUUAAUCACGGUCACCACUUACUAGUUCACAAUUAACCAAUUAAAACGAUGUUUUGAAUGUAGUAACAUGCCUUAGAGAAUUUGCUCAAUUUCUUACAAGAUACUCUCUAUUUUCACACAUUUUCUGACUACACACCCUACACUAGUAUAUGUGAGAAGAUUAAUGUAAACACGAAAGACUAGGACUCACAUAUGUUAUAAUAAAGAAAGCAAUUUUCUGGAGUAUUUAAGCAUGUUUAGAUAUGAUCUCAUGAAUGGAAUGCUACUACUUAGAUGCGAGAACCAGUGACACCUAUGCUCAUACCAAUUUCGAACUCCACAAAUUGAAACACACAACACUCAAGAUUGAAGUCAAGGGUUGUAACAGGGCUUGAGGGUAAUGGCUAAUAAGAAAGGAUAGGAAAACAAACGUUCUUAAAGCGAUAGCAAGUAAAGCAAUGAAAUAGACACUUGGAAUUCACUUUUGAAUGCAGAAUCAACUUUUAAAUACAAAGGGAAGAUUCAUGCAACAUUUAGGGCCGAAUUCAAUGUUUUGGACCAUUUUUUAACAAACUUUUUUCUUUUCACUUUUUUUUUCUACCCGUGCCUUAUUAAGGACUUUGGCACACAUACACACACAAGAAUCACUUCCCCCACACUUGCUUUCUGCAAUACAUUGAUAAAAAAAGAGUUCAUUUUAAGUCAUGCUUACUAUGCUUCAAGAACAAGGGUAUGUAUGGUCCUAAAACUAGGCUAGGUAAGGAUAGUGUGGAUUAACAAA
rnacentral:lncRNA from 1 species